rnacentral:rRNA from 2 species
UGCAGUCGAGCGGAAGAUGGGAGCUUGCUCCCUGAUGUUAGCGGCGGACGGGUGAGUAACACGUGGGUAACCUGCCUGUAAGACUGGGAUAACUCCGGGAAACCGGGGCUAAUACCGGAUGCUUGUUUGAACCGCAUGGUUCAAACAUAAAAGGUGGCUUCGGCUACCACUUACAGAUGGACCCGCGGCGCAUUAGCUAGUUGGUGAGGUAACGGCUCACCAAGGCAACGAUGCGUAGCCGACCUGAGAGGGUGAUCGGCCACACUGGGACUGAGACACGGCCCAGACUCCUACGGGAGGCAGCAGUAGGGAAUCUUCCGCAAUGGACGAAAGUCUGACGGAGCAACGCCGCGUGAGUGAUGAAGGUUUUCGGAUCGUAAAGCUCUGUUGUUAGGGAAGAACAAGUACCGUUCGAAUAGGGCGGUACCUUGACGGUACCUAACCAGAAAGCCACGGCUAACUACGUGCCAGCAGCCGCGGUAAUACGUAGGUGGCAAGCGUUGUCCGGAAUUAUUGGGCGUAAAGGGCUCGCAGGCGGUUCCUUAAGUCUGAUGUGAAAGCCCCCGGCUCAACCGGGGAGGGUCAUUGGAAACUGGGGAACUUGAGUGCAGAAGAGGAGAGUGGGAAUUCCACGUGUAGCGGGGGAAAUGCGUAGAGAUGUGGAAAGGGAACACCAGUGGGCGAAGGCGACUCUCCUUGGUCUUGUAACUGA